CGGGAGGGCAGCGCGGCGAGAGCGGGCGCCCCCCAGCCGUGCCAGGGCCGGCGCUGCAUGGCGCUGCUCAGCCUGCCUUGCAGAGGGAGCUCGAGUCCCGCUCUGCGCCUCGCAGCGCCUCUCCCUCCGCAGCGCACACGGCAGCGGCGCAGCGAGGUGGCGGCAGGCAGGGCUGCGGGCCGGGCCGGGCCACGAGAACCGCCGCACCGCUCCGCCGAGCUCCGAACCCCCCGAGGAGGUGGAGGAGGGAGAAAGGAGAGAGCCCCGAGGAGCCUGAGCAUCACUCCUGCUGUGGAGCUGUGCCAUAGGAAUGGGAAGAGCUUGCCAGUCUACUGUGGAGGAGAUGAUGUUAAAGCCACACAGAUGAGGUUAUUCCUAGGAGUUCCAGGAGCAGAGUCAUUUCGUCCCGACGUGCAGCACCCUGCCUGCCCUGACAGAAGGUUGCUUUCCUGCUCCAAUCUCUGCAGCCAAGGUACAGCUUAUCCUGGAAGAUGGUAUUCUACUGCAGGGAUGGGGCCAGGCUUUGGCAGAGCAAGGAGAACACCCGCAUAGGCUGCUGGAGCGCUGAGCUGUUCGUACUUCCAGGGCUUAGCUGGGGGAAAAAGAAACAACACCAAACAGAAGUCUGGGCCACUUAUUACCUGCAGGGUGUUUCUGUCCACAGCUGUUACCCAACAGCUGCGUGUGCCAGCCAAGACCCGUAUUCUCACUCCUGCUGCCUGCAGCUGGGAGCAUGAUACAGAGCUAUGGGAGAAAUACUGUGCUUUUGGCCUGCGGCUUGUGCAACCCCCAAGCAGGUGGAAUAAUGCUAAGCUAGCACUGAUGGGGCAGAGCAUCUCCUGCUUGUACCUUUCCUGCAGUUCUGUCUGCAGAUAAAGCCAUAUCCAAAAGUGGUUGCUCUGAAGGCAGCACCCUGACAGGUGUCAGGCUUGCUGAGGUGUUGCUGCGUCUGCUUGGUGCUACUGUGUCCCAGGUACCCAGCACAGACCUGGGAGGCAGAGAGCUGACCAGAACUGCCCUGAGCCACCUCCUGGCCUUGCAGGCUUAUGGUACCAAAGCACACCCCAGCAUGAGAGAUGCCUGGGUGCUCCUGCUGCUGACGUGGUGCUUCCCAGCUAGUUACAGGAAGCAGAUGUCCCAUUUGGGGCACCCUGUGCACCAUGGCAUGCUUUCAUCCCUUUUGCAGGCUCUUACGAUGCACCUCCACUAGCAGCCCCCUACCAAAACAGAACAACCCAAGAGCCUGAGCUCCCUGGGACAUCUGGGUCCCCUGCAAGUGCACAGUGGGCAGGCAGAGCCAGCAGGAUAAGAACAUGAAGUCUGAGGCAGCCUGACAAAGGACUGUUAGUAAGGACAGCGGUCCCGGAGGCUGCGAGCUGCUGGGCUUUGCUAAGAAACCCAUCGAGAUGGUGCUGGCCCCAGGGGUCCUUGCUUCUGCUGGCUGUUGGGGCAUUUUGCUGCUUUAACCUACUCCUCUCUCAGAACUGUGAGGGCUGCUAAGAUGAUUAAGAGCUUGGAGCACCUGCCAUAUAAAAAAAAAGAGCCUGGGAGAAUGGAGGCUUGGAGCGGUUCUUAUCCAUGUCUCUCAACACUUGGUGGUGGGUAAAGAAGAGAGACCAGUUCUCCUUAGUGAUGCCCAGUGACAGAAUGAGAGCCAUACUGAUAGCAAAAUACAGGAGUUCCAUUUAAACUAAAGAAAUGUUUUUUCUGUGAGGCUGGCUGAAUACUGGAACAGGUGGCACAGAAGUGUUCUGUCAUCUCCAUCUUUGGAAACGGUCCUGGGCAGCCUGCUUGAACUAACUCACGUUGAGCAGGGGGGGGGAAUGGAAGGCCAUGUUCAGAGGUCCCUUCCCAACUCAAUUCCACAAUUCCUUGAUGCGUUGUGGCUUGGUAUCGCUGUGAUGAGACAUACAUGGUCCUACCAUUCUGACUUCCAGCCAUUGCCUCCCUUCUCUGGGGCAGGUCAGGGCUUCCCUGUGCUGAGCACAGCUCAGCUGUGACCCUGCUCUGCGCAAUGCAUUGUGGCGCCUUAGCGAGGCUUCCCAUGCCCUGCAGCCCAGGUUUGGCAGCAUCAUGGUAACUCUCACACAGCUCAGGGACAGUGAAAACUCCUUCUGCUGCUAAAAGAGAUAGCUGCUGUACUGCUGGUAAAAGCAGAAGGUUGAUCCUCACCUGAGAAACACCCACCCAGCUUUCAGUCCAGGGAGACACCCCCAGGCCAGAGCUCCCUGCCCCUUGGCACAGGGGCUGAACACCCACGCAGCAACACCGACGCUCAUUAAAGGUUUACUUUUAUUUCUGGUUUAAAAUCAAAAUUAGUCAUUCUCUGUAAUUACAUUAUAUAUAGAUUUAUAGAGACAUUAUAGAAAAGAAUUUGUCGCUUUUUUUCUGCAAAAAAAAAAAAAAAAGAAAUCUGUAAAUAAAAAAUAAAAUAAACAACAAGGAAAGGAAAAGGUGGCAGUGUCCGUCUGUCCGUCCCUCUGUCGCUCCUCCUGCCCCUGCCCUCCACAGCACUCCCCCGCAGAGGGGAAGGGCUCUGGGCUGGGGCUGUGCCUCACUGCGCCCCACCGCCGGGGAGGGACAGGAGCAUGCGGAGCUGGAAAGAAGAAAUGCCAGCAGAAUAUAUUAAUAUAUCUCAUAUCUCAUUUUAUUUAAGUCCUGCGGACUUCCAGGUGGCAAAAGGGCAGCGGUUCCCUCCCAGCCCAGGCGACUUCUGGAAAGAAACAGCAUCGCUUCCAAAGUGUGGGUCCUUCCAGGAAAGGGCACGCGGCCCGAGCAGCAGGAAGGCAAGAGGCGGAGGAAUCCGGUGCGUCUCCCUGCCGCUCCCAUCCCAGCAGCUGUAGCACGAAGGGUGGCUUCCCUGUGUGUUUUCAAUAGCAGUCGAAGGGUGGGGUGUGCAGCGAGCCCCUCCUCGCCCAGGGGUGGGUGCGUGCGUGGCACCCCGCGUGGCUGGUGCUGGGGGCAGGGGAAGCGGUGCUCCGUAAGGCAGUGUGCGGCCGCGGCGAGCUGCCGGCGGGGGUGAUGCUGCAGUGCUGCUGUGAGCAGGGCCGUUGGCUGGGCCCAGUCUUUGCGAGCCCACGUGCAGCUCAGCAGUGCCUUUGUCCUCAAGGGGUAGCGGGUGGCUCUGUGUGGCUUCUCAGAAAGCUGUGCUGGCCAUGCUGGCUGGUGCAAAGAUCCGCGGGAGGCUGUCCAGGGUCUCCUCCAGUCGCCGGUGCGCUGAUUUGCCAUCUUCCCCUGUAAGCACGUGCCACAGUCAGCGAAGCCAAGGGCAGCAGCUCUGUUCCCUGCCCAUCCCUGGCCACCUUCCCUGGCCUUGCAACAGAAAUGAUACUAAUGCCUGACAGAGCCGAGCCAGCGUGGUACAGCCACAGAGCCCUGUGGCACAGCUGGCUGGGGAGGUGGGGGAGCACCCGAAGAACCAUGGAGAUGAGGCACUGGAGGUGUGGGCAGUGGGCAUGGUAGGGCUGGACUUUGGGAUCUGAGAGGUUUUUUUUUCCUAACCUUAAUGGUUCUAUGAUUCUUGUGUUCUCCAUAGCACACCCUUGAACAGAUCCCAUCUCCAAAAGCCGGCAGAGCUCCCAGUCCAGGAGCUGGGGCAAGUGGGCGAGGCCCAGGGCUGUGCCAGGUGCAGCAUGCCAACCAGCUGUGCACUUCUGCAUGCACCUACAUGGGGACCCCAAGAGCUUCCCAGCACCCCCGCGUACACACAGGGAUGCACACUCCAUGCUGAGAGAUCUCUGCCCAGCAGCCCUGCACACAGAUCUGCACGCAGCAGCCAUCCCCAGCAGAGCUGGUGACGUGGGACACAGGACACGUGGCACCUAUGUGCGCAGGCAUUGCCGCGGGGCUACGAACAACCAAGACACACAGACUCCAAAAAGUGACGUGGCUGACAGGCUCUAAGACAGAGACAUUUGUGAGCAAAGCAGGAGUGGGGCUGAGGGACGAGGACAGCUCACAUGUCCCAACCUGUGCAGCAGCUGCCGCGGUCUGGAGGCCUAGAAACCCAACUCAGAUGGUUCUCUCAGUGCCAUCUAGCAAAUAAUAAAUAACACCCACGCUUAGGGCUGUGCCCGCAGGAAUCCUCGCUGCCCACCACCGCUCUCACCCCACACAGCUGGGGCACCGUAAGCCGGAGCAUGGGGCAGGCAGGGAUCAGCCCAGGCCCCUAUCUCCCUUGGGCAGUGUGCCAUGGGGUGAUGCAGGACACUCACCACACAGCAUCAGGCUCUGCUUGGCUGCCUCCCGCACAGGCUCCUUGUCGGUUUGGCACAGGUAAACCAGCUGCUCGAUGCUCUCCUUGGCCUUGAGGCAGCCCAGCGCCACGCAGCCGGCCACGCGUGUCUGCACCUCCUCAUCCUCCAGCUGUCCCAGGAAGCACACGAGGGCCUGGGGCAGAGCGAGGGCUCAGUGCCACCACUUCAAGUAGCGACCCAGAGCCCACCUCCCCCCCUCCUGCCCACAGCGUACCCGUUGGCGGAAGCGGGGGUUUUCCGCCAGGCUGCGGAGCUGUGCCGACACGGCGCUCACCACCUUGCUGUUUCCUUCCACGAGCAGCAAGCUGAGCGCCUUCAGCCCUUCCUUCUUCAGGCGGCCCUCGGGCACACGCUUCAGUGCCCGCAGCACCACAUCCUGGUCGUCUGAGUUGAGGUUCUGCGCCAGCAGCACUGUGGGGACAGCCCGGUGAGCUGAGCAUCUGUGGGGAGCUCAGCCUCCAGCCACAGCAGUCAGAGGGAUCCCACAAUAGGAUGCUGGGGGCGCUGCCCCGCUGCUGGGGUACCUGAGCUGGAGACCUGCAGAAAGCAAGGUCCAAAGGGUGCCCCAGGAUGGGAGUGUAGGAAGGGGCUGAGCACAAGCAAUGGGGCAGGGUGGGCGAGCCUUUGGGUGGGCGAGCCUUUGGGUGAUACCCCACAGUGCUGUACACCCUACAGCCUCCAGCUCAGGGCACGGCAGAAGGGCACCCACCUUCCUCUGCCAGCUCCAUCACGUAGGUGUCGAGCACCAGGGCACCGAGGGCCUCGAAGUGGCUCCAGUACUGGAAGAUGGUGACCUGCUCACCCUGGGUGCCACCGGGUCGCCGUGGCAGCCGCCGGUUCAGCACAUCUUCCACCAGCUUCACACAUACUGUGGGAAAAUAACGGGGUCAGGGCAUGCAGCACCUCGUAGGGUCGGAGAUUCCCUUCUUGCACGUCCACACCUGCACACCCUCACCUGCAUCAGCCAGUCCUGGGUGCCGCUCACUGAUGGGUGCUGCGUACUGCGCACUGAGCACCUGCAGGAACCGCUCCACGGGGCAGGUGUAGAUGUUGGGCAGCUCCACGCAGUGGUCCCAAAGGGGCAGCACCCCUUCUUUCCGUGUUGAGAACUGCACCACUGCGGGGACAGGCGGUGUCAAGCUGCACAUCCAGCUGGCACAUCCCUCCCGUGCAGCCCCUUGCUGCCCUUACCUCCGGCAGCAGAGCCCGCUGCUUCCGACCGCUCCUCCAUCAGUUGGCACACGAUCUCCAGCACCUGCGCCUCCCGCAGCAGCCUGUCCAGGGCGAACAUCUCCCGGCACCUCAGAGGCCCAAAGGUGCCCAGGUUCUGUGAGGCACAGGUAUGCCAGUGACCUUAAGGACAGCACAGCACCCAGACCCCAGCACAGCCACAGCAAGGCAUCUCGGAGGGUCUUAGGGGGGCCAGAAACUGCGAGGAGCCAUGGCCAGCCCCAGGAUGUGUCCCACUAUUGCAUCCCACUCCCUGCAGGGAGCCUUGGCCAACCCCACCACGUGUCCCCGCAUCGUGUCCCAGUCCCCAGUCUCACCAGCAGCAGGUGGUUGCAGUUGUGGAGGUGAAGCACCAGGGCCUUAUCCAGGAACUCACUGCCGGUGCUCAUGGGGUCCGCGCUGCCCUCAGAGCCGCUGCACGUUCCAGUGUCAUCCGCUCCCACCUCACCAGCGCUGGCAGCCCUGCUUCCACGCCGUGCUCUGCUGGCCCUCCUGCAAACCAGCAAGAGCUGGAUCAGCACAGGGCACCCGAACCCAGCCCUUCCUUUCCCACCAGAGCUCAGCACCCCAAG
rnacentral:lncRNA from 1 species